rnacentral:rRNA from 1 species
AUUGAACGCUGGCGGCAGGCCUAACACAUGCAAGCCGAGCGGAUGACGGGAGCUUGCUCCUUGAUUCAGCGGCGGACGGGUGAGUAAUGCCUAGGAAUCUGCCUGGUAGUGGGGGACAACGUUACGAAAGGAACGCUAGUACCGCAUACGGCCUACGGGAGAAAGCAGGGGACCUUCGGGCCUUGCGCUAUCAGAUGAGCCUAGGUCGGAUUAGCUAGUUGGUGGGGUAAUGACUCACCAAGGCGACGAUCCGUAACUGGUCUGAGAAGAUGGUCGAUGACGCUGGAACUGAGACACGGUCCAGACUCCUACGGGAGGAAGCAGUGGGGAAGAUUAGACCAUGGGCGGGAGCCUGAUCCAGCCAGGCCGCGUGUGAGAAGAGGGUCUUCGGAUUGUGAAGCGCGUUGAGUUGGGAGGAAGGGCUGUAAGCUAAUUCCUGGUUGUUUUGACGGUACAGGCAGAAUAAGCACCGGCUAACUCUGUGCCAGCAGCCGCCGUAA